ensembl:snRNA U6 U6 spliceosomal RNA
GUGCUCGCUUCAGCAGCAUAUAAUACUAAAAUUGGAACGAUGCAGAGAUUAGCAUGGCCCCUGUGCAAGGAUGACAAGCAAAUUUGUGAAUCAUUCCAUAUUUAA